ensembl:lncRNA
ACUAAACCAGGACUAAACCAGGACUAAACCAGGACUGAACCAGGACUGAACCAGGACUAAACCAGGACUAAACCAGGACUGAACCAGGACUAAACCAGGACUAAACCAGGACUGAACCAGGACUGAACCAGGACUGAACCAGGACUGAACAAGGACUAAACCAGGACUGAACCAGGACUGAACCAGGACUGAACCAGGACUGAACCAGGACUAAACCAGGACUGAACCAGGACUGAACCAGGACUGAACCAGGACUAAACCAGGACUGAACCAGGACUAAACCAGGACUGAACCAGGACUAAACCAGGACUAAAACAGGACUAAACCAGGACUGAACCAGGACUAAACCAGGACUAAACCAGGACUGAACCAGGACUGAACCAGGACUAGACCAGGACUGAACCAGGACUAAACCAGGACUAAACCAGGACUGAACCAGGACUGAACCAGGACUAGACCAGGACUAAACCAGGACUAAACCAGG